GGUUUGAUCAUGCCUCAGGAUGAACGCUGGCGGCGUGCUUAACACAUGCAAGUCGAACGGAGAGCUAAUGACAGAGGAUUCGUCCAAUGGAGUUAGUUUCUUAGUGGCGGACGGGUGAGUAACGCGUGAGGAACCUGCCUUGGAGUGGGGAAUAACAGUUGGAAACAGCUGCUAAUACCGCAUAAUGCAGUUGAGUCGCAUGGCUCUGACUGCCAAAGAUUUAUCGCUCUGAGAUGGCCUCGCGUCUGAUUAGCUAGUUGGCGGGGUAACGGCCCACCAAGGCGACGAUCAGUAGCCGGACUGAGAGGUUGGCCGGCCACAUUGGGACUGAGACACGGCCCAGACUCCUACGGGAGGCAGCAGUGGGAAUAUUGGGCAAUGGGCGCAAGCCUGACCCAGCAACGCCGCGUGAAGGAAGAAGGCCCUCGGGUUGUAAACUUCUUUUCUUAGGGACGAAGCAAGUGACGGUACCUAAGGAAUAAGCCACGGCUAACUACGUGCCAG
rnacentral:rRNA from 1 species